UAGGGAAUCUUCCGCAAUGGACGCAAGUCUGACGGAGCAACGCCGCGUGAGUGAAGAAGGAUUUCGGUUCGUAAAACUCUGUUGUUAGAGAAGAACAGCGCAUAGAGUAACUGUUAUGCGUGUGACGGUAUCUAACCAGAAAGGGACGGCUAACUACGUGCCAGCAGCCGCUGUAAUACGUAGGUCCCGAGCGUUGUCCGGAUUUAUUGGGCGUAAAGCGAGCGCAGGCGGUUAGAUAAGUCUGAAGUUAAAGGCAGUGGCUCAACCAUUGUAGGCUUUGGAAACUGUUUAACUUGAGUGCAGAAGGGGAGAGUGGAAUUCCAUGUGUAGCGGUGAAAUGCGUAGAUAUAUGGAGGAACACCGGUGGCGAAAGCGGCUCUCUGGUCUGUAACUGACGCUGAGGCUCGAAAGCGUGGGGAGCGAACAGG
rnacentral:rRNA from 1 species